rnacentral:lncRNA from 1 species
UUCCCAACAGGCUUAGAAUGUGAUAAUUCAAGAAUUUUAUAAUACAGUGGAAUAGCUUAACAACUGCUUAUGUGCUUCCCAUGAUAUGUUCUCUAUAUUAGUGAAAUCUUAAUGGCCUUUAAUCAUCCUCAUAUCAUAAUGGACAAGCUGGAGAGAA